rnacentral:rRNA from 1 species
GCCAGACUCCUCGGGAGGCAGCAGUGAGGAAUAUUGGUCAAUGGCCGCAGGGCUGAACCAGCCAAGUCGCGUGAGGGAAGACGGUCCUAUGGAUUGUAAACCUCUUUUGUCGGGGAGCAAAAGACGCCACGCGUGGCGUUCCGAGAGUACCCGAAGAAAAAGCAUCGGCUAACUCCGUGCCAGCAGCCGCGGUAAUACGGGGGAUGCAAGCGUUGUCCGGAAUCAUUGGGCGUAAAGAGUUCGUAGGUGGCACGUUAAGUCUGGUGUUAAAUGCAGAGGCUCAACCUCUGUUCGGCACUGGAUACUGGCGAGCUUGAAUGCGGUAGAGGUAAAGGGAAUUCCUGGUGUAGCGGUGAAAUGCGUAGAUAUCAGGAGGAACAUCGGUGGCGUAAGCGCUUUACUGGGCCGUAAUUGACACUGAGGAACGAAAGCCAGGGUAGCAAAUGGGAUUAGAUACCCCCGUAUG